rnacentral:tRNA from 1 species
CCCUCAGUAGCUCAGUUGGGAGAGCAUUAAACUGAAGAUCUAAAGGUCCUUGGUUCAACCCUGGGCUUCGGCA